CAAAAGAGAGAGGGAGUGUGACAGAGAACAUAACAUUCAAUUAUACAUCAAAUUACAUUUUGUUGCCUUUUUCUUGUUUGCCAAAAAAUUAUAAUCGCCAGAUAUCUGAUCAAGCAACUCAAGUUACUCAGAUUUCUGUGCAAUAGUUUAAAAACACAACCCUCUCCUCAGGACUCACCCCCUCAAGCGUUGCCAGGGUUACACCUGCUGCCACGGAGAUGAUGAUGUGUUUCCAGGUGACGUGGUCUGUGAUCUCGCUGAGAACGGUCGCGACGAGUUGUGGUUUGACCGCCACGAACACCAGGUCACAGCUAUUGACCAGCUCUGCAUUGAAGUGGGUGGCCGACUCCCCCAACUCCUGAAUACAAUGAAAACAGAGACCACAAUAUGACUGUGUUCCUGCAGUAUCAGAACCGGACUGCUCAGUACUACACGGACCUAAUGGGAAAACUGGAACACAUGAAUGGAAUGCUGGGAACCAUGCUGCGUUACCUUGACAACAUGCAGAACUAGAGGAGGCUUUAUGUUAUCCAGGGCUACCUGGGCUGUGCUGGAAGAGUCUGAGCCUGGCUACAGUAUGGACGUGUGUGGUGCAUGCUGGGUUCUUCCUGCUGUGGGCGGUAGUACUGACAUUACUAAGCUGGUCCGCUUUCUCCCGAGCCAUGCUGCUCUUCACUGUCCCGCUCAACGCUGUGGCCGAGGUCAACCAACAACCUGCCUUGUACCUGCCCGCCUCAGCAUGCUGCUGCUCACACUCUCACUGGGUAUAGACAUGGCUGUGUGCAUUUAUACGUAAAAAUAACAUAUUCACAUACUGUAUUUCAACAGUUAUACAAACCUCUUUACUUUUUCCACAUUUUGUUACAUUACAACCUUAUUCUAAAAUUGAUUAAAUUGAUUUUUUCCUCAUCAAUC